AGGGCGUUUGGUCUAGUGGU
rnacentral:siRNA from 1 species